UGGGGUAUAGCCAAGUGGUCAAGGCACGGGACUUUGACUCCCGUAUCGUUGGUUCAAGUCCAACUACCCCAG
rnacentral:tRNA from 1 species